UUGCUCUUCAACGAGGAAUGCCUAGUAAGCGCAUGUCAUCAGCAUGCGUUGAUUACGUCCCUGCCCUUUGUACACACCGCCCGUCGCUACUACCGAUUGAAUGGCUCGGUGAGGCCUUCGGACUGGCCCAGGGAGGUCGGCAACGACCACCCAGGGCCGGAAAGUUGGUCAAACCCGGUCAUUUAGAGGGAGUAAAAGUCGUAACAAGGUCUCCGUAGGUGAACCUGCGGAGGGAUCAUUACAAGUGACCCCGGUCUAACCACCGGGAUGUUCAUAACCCUUUGUUGUCCGACUCUGUUGCCUCCGGGGCGACCCUGCCUUCGGGCGGGGGCUCCGGGUGGACACUUCAAACUCUUGCGUAACUUUGCAGUCUGAGUAAACUUAAUUAAUAAAUUAAAACUUUUAACAACGGAUCUCUUGGUUCUGGCAUCGAUGAAGAACGCAGCGAAAUGCGAUAAGUAAUGUGAAUUGCAGGAUCCCGCGAACCACCGAGUCUUUGAACGCAAGUUGCGCCCGGAGCCUUCUGGCCGAGGGCACGUCUGCCUGGGCGUCACGCAUCGCUGCCCCCACAUACAACACCCACUUAGGUCUGUUGCAUUGGCGGGGGCACAUGUUGGCCUCCCGUGCGCACUGUCGCACGGAUGGCUUAAAAUUGAGUCCUCGGCAUCUGUUGUCGUGACACUACGGUGGUUGAUUCAACCUCGGUACCGUGUCUCGAUCUCAGCUUGCGUGCCUCCUCUUUGUGAGUGAGGGAGGAAUCUUAUGUUGACCCUUUGAACAUUGUCCCCAAAGAUGAUGCUCUCGACGCGACCCCAGGUCAGGCGGGACUACCCGCUGAGUUUAAGCAUAUCAAUAAGCGGAGGA
rnacentral:rRNA from 1 species